CCCGGCAGCCGCCCCGUCUGAGAAGUGAGGAGCCCCUCCGCCUGGCAGCCACCCCGUCUGGGAAGUGAGGAGCGUCUCCGCCCAGCAGCCGCCCCGUCCGGGAGGGAGGUGGGGGUCAGCCCCCCACCCGGCCAGCCACCCCGUCCGGGAGGGAGGUGGGGGGUCAGCCCCCCGCCCGGCCAGCCGCCCCGUCCAGGAGGUGAGGGGCGCCUCUGCCCGGCCACCCCUACUGGGAAGUGAGGAGCCCCUCUGCCCGGCCACCACCCCGUCUGGGAGGUGUGCCCAACAGCUCAUUGAGAACGGGCCAUGAUGACAAUGGUGGUUUUGUGGAAUAGAAAGCGGGGAAAGGUUGGGAAAAGAUUGAGAAAUUGGAUGGUUGCCGUGUCUGUGUGGAAAGAAGUAGACAUGGGAGACUUUUCAUUUUGUUCUGUACUAAGAAAAAUUAUUCUGCCUUGGGAUCCUGUUGAUCUGUGACCUUACCCCCAACCCUG
rnacentral:lncRNA from 1 species